rnacentral:lncRNA from 1 species
UAGCGAGCUGGCAAGGAUGUGGAGAAAGGGAGCUCUUUUAUAUGCUGUUGGUGGGAAUGUAAAUCAGUAGUCAUUAUGGAGAACAGCAUGGUGAUUCCUCAAAAAACUAAAAUUAGAACCACCAUAAGACCCAGCUAACCCACUUCGAGAUGUGUAUCCUGUGGAAAUAAAGCCUGUGCACCAAAAAGAUGCCUGUACAUCCAUGUUUACUGCAGUGCUAUUCACAGUAGCUAAGGUGUGGAACCAGCCUGGAUGCCCAUCAGUGCAUGAGUGCAUAAAGCAAUAGAGUACAUACACACAAUGGGGUAUUUUUCAGUGAUAAAGGAAAAUGAAGUCCUGUCAUUUGCAGGAAAAUGGUUGGAAACAGAGGACAGGAUGCUAAAUGAAGGGGAGCAUGACUCGACUGGAGACAAAAACCAAAUGCAUUUCAAGAAGAAAAGGGAGAAAAGGGCAGAGCCUCCUCUGUGAUGAGCAUGGGUACCAUAUUCUCCGCAGAGCAUGGCCCGCCCAGCCCAGCUGCUGUACUAGGCCAGGUGAGGUACGACAGCUGUGCAGCCUUGAUCCCGGAGUGUAGGCGACCUAGAUGUUUAAAAUCAGUGCAACUGGGCACACAAAAGGACUAAAGAGGAAGACUGCAGGAUAAUAGCAAUAGAUGCAGGCAAACCCACUGACCAAAAUCCAGCAUCCACUCACAAUAAAAGCUCUCAACCAAGCUGGGGGUUUAGCUCAGUGGUUCCGCCGCUUGCCUUGCAAGUCCAAGGACCCCAGUUCAAUCCUCAGUACCCCCCCUCAAAAAAAGCUCUCAACCAGUUAGUAGGAUGAAGCUUCAACCUAGUUAAAGGCACCCACAAGCCAGGCAUGAUGGCACAGGCUUGGGAUCCCAGC